rnacentral:rRNA from 1 species
AUACGUAGGGGGCGAGCGUUGUCCGGCAUGACUGGGCGUAAAGGGCGUGUAGGUGGCGGUGUAAGUCUGGAGUGAAAGUCCCGCAUUCAAUGUGGGAAUUGCUUUGGAUACUGCAGUGCUAGAGUGCGGAAGAGGUAAGUGGAAUUCCCAGUGUAGCGGUGAAAUGCGUAGAGAUUGGGAGGAACACCAGUGGCGAAGGCGACUUACUGGGCCGUAACUGACGCUGAGGCGCGAAAGCGUGGGGAGCGAACAGGAUUAGAUACCCUGGUAGUCCACGCGGUAAACGAUGAAUGCUAGGUGUAGGGGGUAUCGACUCCCUCUGUGCCGCAGUUAACACAUUAAGUAUUCCACCUGGGGAGUACGGCCGCAAGGUUGAAACUCAAAUGAAUUGGCGGGG